ACAGCAGCCGCCACGGUAAUACGGAAGGUCCAGGCGUUAUCCGGAUUUAUUGGGUUUAAAGGGAGCGUAGGCUGGAGAUUAAGUGUGUUGUGAAAUGUAGACGCUCAACGUCUGACUUGCAGCGCAUACUGGUUUCCUUGAGUACGCACAACGUUGGCGGAAUUCGUCGUGUAGCGGUGAAAUGCUUAGAUAUGACGAAGAACUCCGAUUGCGAAGGCAGCUGACGGGAGCGCAACUGACGCUUAAGCUCGAAGGUGCGGGUAUCAAACAGGAUUAGAUACCCCCGUAGUCCCUGUCUCUUAUAC
rnacentral:rRNA from 1 species